rnacentral:rRNA from 1 species
UACGGAGGGUGCAAGCGUUACCCGGAAUCACUGGGCGUAAAGGGCGUGUAGGCGGACUGUUAAGUCUGGCUUUAAAGACCGAGGCUCAACCUCGGGAAUGGGCUGGAUACUGGGAGUCUAGACCUCUGGAGAGGUACUCGGAAUUUCUGGUGUAGCGGUGGAAUGCGUAGAGAUCGGGAAGAACAUCAGUGGCGAAGGCGGCCUGCUGGGCUGUUGCUGACGCUGAGGCGCGACAGCGUGGGGAGCAAACAGG